GACGAACGCUGGCGGCGUGCUUAACACAUGCAAGUCGAACGGGAAGGCCCUGCUUUUGUGGGGUGCUCGAGUGGCGAACGGGUGAGUAACACGUGAGUAACCUGCCCUUGACUUUGGGAUAACUUCAGGAAACUGGGGCUAAUACCGGAUAGGAGCUCCUGCUGCAUGGUGGGGGUUGGAAAGUUUCGGCGGUUGGGGAUGGACUCGCGGCUUAUCAGCUUGUUGGUGGGGUAGUGGCUUACCAAGGUUUUGACGGGUAGCCGGCCUGAGAGGGUGACCGGCCACAUUGGGACUGGGAUACGGCCCGGACUCCUACGGGAGGCAGCAGUGGGGAAUAUUGCACAAUGGGCGGAGGCCUGAUGCAGCAACGCCGCGUGCGGGAUGACGGCCUUCGGGUUGUAACCCGCUUUCGCCUGUGACGAAGCGUGAGUGACGGUAAUGGGUAAAGAAGCACCGGCUAACUACGUG
rnacentral:rRNA from 1 species